UACGUAGGGUGCGAGCGUUGUCCGGAAUUACUGGGCGUAAAGAGCUCGUAGGUGGUUUGUCGCGUUGUUCGUGAAAACUCACAGCUUAACUGUGGGCGUGCGGGCGAUACGGGCAGACUGGAGUACUGCAGGGGAGACUGGAAUUCCUGGUGUAGCGGUGGAAUGCGCAGAUAUCAGGAGGAACACCGGUGGCGAAGGCGGGUCUCUGG
rnacentral:rRNA from 1 species